UACGUAGGGUGCAAGCGUUGUCCGGAAUUAUUGGGCGUAAAGAGCUCGUAGGCGGCUUGUCGCGUCGGCUGUGAAAACCUAGGGCUUAACCCUGGGCCUGCAGUGGAUACGGGCAGACUAGAGGUAGGUAGGGGAGAAUGGAAUUCCCGGUGUAGCGGUGAAAUGCGCAAAUAUCGGGAGGAACACCGGUGGCGAAGGCGGUUCUCUGGGCCUUACCUGACACUGAGGAGCGAAAGCGUGGGGAGCGAACAGG
rnacentral:rRNA from 1 species